UGGACCCGAUAUACCCUUCUGUAUUCUCGUAUCAGUCCCAAGAUCCCCUUUCCUCGGUCCACAUUCAAUGUUCAUGCCAUCAGCAGGCGGCGGCGGCAGCAUCUGUGUCGGCGUCGGCGCUCCCUCUCUCUCGCACGUUCGGCGUCGCUCCCUGCUCCUUGCCUCCGGCAUGCCCCUUCCUUCCGUCACCGAUGGCAGGUAUAUCCCACCAACGGCGCCACCAACCAGCGGGGACAGUAGCCCCUGGUGGCGUGCGGCUUCCCCUCGCGGAUCUCAUGGUCACGCUGCCUUCCUGAUCGGCGGUGUGCGGUGUCGUCCCAUCACUGGUCAUUUGCUUGUUGAUUAGCAAGAAGAUCCAGGUAUGUUCGUGGUUGAACCGCAGGGGCUGGUGGUGGAUCCAUGUUGGAGAAGUGUGAUAUCCAUCUGCACCCUACCAGGAUUGAGGCUUCUAGAUCUUUUGGUCAUGGGGUCACCAUGACAGACCACUAUGUUCUCGUCGAAGUCUUCAGCAUGUUCUCUGAAUAAACAACUAGAAAUCUAGCAUACAUCUCAUUUUCUCGUUACUCCGUCUCCUCCACAUCUAGAUCUUGAAAAUUUUUUCUUAUUUUUCUCAUUACUCUGUCUCCUCCCCAUCCUCAGAUACUUCCUUUUUUAGAUUGAGGUAUUACUUGAGAUUUUCUGGAAUUUUGUUUGUACCACUAAAUACUUUUUCAGAUUAUAGUAGCGGCAAUUCAUACAUUGUUCUACAUUUUUAUAAAGUAGUAUUAUAUGUUGUUCGACAUUUUCUCC